UUUAAUUAAGAGUUUGAUCCUGGCUCAGGACGAACGCUGGCGGCACGCUUAACACAUGCAAGUCGAACGAGAGGAGAGAAGCUUGCUUUUCU
rnacentral:rRNA from 1 species